GUCAGGCUACUGUACGUGUUAUGCCUGGGGCGUGCGGUCGACACCGUGUUUAACUCUCGCUUCGUCUUACGGCCGAGUCUUCACGUCAGCCAAGCUGUUACUGAAUAUGGAUCAACGCAUGCUUGAGGAUUUCCAAGUGUAAAGCUUCUGUAUUUAUUUCAGUGACAAACAUGGCAGCGUAAAAAGACAACAGCUACCAAUGUGUGUUAGAAUAAUUAUGUGUCACCGACAACACACUUGUAUAUUUAAAGAUUAACCAUGACGAGGAUAUACCUACUGUUAGUGACAACACUUGUUGUUGUAGCUGCGUCACCAUUUGGGAAGAAUAAUUUUCACAAGGACACAUCCCACUGCUGUAAAGUAGGCGACUGGGAUUCCUGUUUCUGUUUGGACACUUACAUGGCUGGCAUCUGUAUCGACAAAAGAUGUUAUGGCUGUAGGAAGGGAUGUAAAGCGAAACAGAAGUGAUCACGGAAUGGACAAGGAUAGCAGGAGUGUGGUAGAGGAACCGUGUGAAAAGUUUCUUGAAUAUUUCAUAAUACUGAGAAAAAGACUACAAAAUAUAUUGAUAUAGGUUAAUGUAAUUAACGAGAAAAUCAUGUUCUGCGUCGACAUUCCAAAAGGACAAACUCGGAACUCAAAGUUGAUGUAAAAUACGACAAGAUUUGAUGAAAAAAUAAAACGAAAAAAGUGCAUCAUAAAA